rnacentral:lncRNA from 1 species
CUGAAUUUUGAGAGAGAACCGGCAGGAGAGAAAGGGAGAAAGAAGAAGAAGAAGAGAAAAGAGGGAAAUUAGAAAGGAAAUAGAAAGGAGUUGGAGAAAAUAAGUAAAAAGGUAAGAUUAUGUAUAAAUAUAUGUUAAUUAAGCUUUAAUUUCGAUUUUGAUAAAUUUUAGGGUUAUGAAAUUUAUGUUUUGGGUUUGAUUGAUGAUUUAAUUUGAAUAUUAUAGAGUUAAUUGUUGUGGGUAUUUGAUUAUUUGGAUGAUUUUGAGAGAUUGAAUUGAAAGAUGAUGAUUUUGAGUUAUGAUUUUGUUUGAAUGGUGAAAUUGUGUUAGGAAUUUGGAGAGAACAGUAGGUUUCUGUUAAAAAUUCUGGGUUGGAGGUUGAAGAUGACAAAAUUUCGGUUUGGUCCCUCAAUUUUGGAAAAUUACAGUUUAGUCCCCAAACUUUGGAAAAUUUGCAGAUUGGUCCCUGGAGCAUAUUCCGAGAUUCUGAACAGAAUAACAUAUGAAUUAUGGACAGAAUUACUGUAUAGAUAAGAGAAUUUAACACUUUCAAUUUAGUCCUUCAAUUUGACAAAAAUUGCAAUUUGACCCUUAAAAAUAGGAUAAAUUACAGAUUAGUCCCUAGCUGUAAUACUAGCUUUUGCAGAUUGGUUUGAUGAAUAAUUAAGGGUUAUUUAGUGAAUUAUUGCCAAUUUUAUUAGUUGUUUUAUUAUGGAUUAGAUUUCGGGAAAACCGUUAAAUUUUGGGUUUUUGAGAAAAUUGACUAGUUAGUUCAAAAACAUAUAGGGUUACGGAAUACAUCAUUAGUUAAGUUUAUUAAAUAAGUUAAAUGUUCUUUUGAGUCGUUCUUGAAUAUGUCUCCUUUGUAUUCAGAUAAUCCUGAUAUUCUACCGAUAGGACGUCAGUAGGAUUUUCUUCGGUGUCUGCUUUUGGCUUCUGUUUGCUUUUGAGUCAGGUGAGUGGAUAAUUUUCCAUAUGCAUGAGAAAUAGUAUAAAUAUUUGAUUUGUUAAUAUGAAUUGAAUCAUGCUUCUUGAUAAUAUAUAUGUUGACUAUUAUCCUUAUUUUGAUAAAGCAUGAUCAAUUAUUGAAUCUGAAUUCUUAAUAUGAACCAGUAUAUAUUUUGAAUUGAAUUCUGAAUUGAUAGCUCCUCAUUUGAUUGAUGUCAUGAGUUGAGCCUUGAGAUAUGAAUACGUCUGUUUGAUUAUGAUUAUGAACCUAUGGUAUGUCAGUCAGAAUACCCAUACUAACAGGGUAGUGUUAGUCUUUGUGCACAUCGUAUCUGAACCCUAGUUGGUCGGGGGAGUCACCAACCUGUGUGGACUGAUCAUCCCACAGUACGGAGCCUCAUGCUCAUUGCAUUUUGAUUUUCUGACGAGCUUUACCAUAUGAUAUUCUUGUUAUGGCCUAUUUGAGAAACUUUUCUAUAAGAACCUAGAGCCAUACUUAUAUAUAUAUUUCUCAUUGUUGUAUUACCUCGUGUGUGUAUAUUGAACGUUAUCUACUCACUGAGUUGUUGAACUCACCAUCUCAUUAUUUAUCCUUUUCAGGCUUAUAGCUUGAUAGCAGGUCAUUUUGUUGGACCUUCAGAAUCUGCUCUUUGGUUGUACUUUGUAUCUUUCCUUUAUGUUUAGUUAAUGCUCCAAAACUCUGAACUUAUAUAAACUCUUGUAUUAAGACAAUUCAAUUAUUAUGAAGUUGAUUUUGUUAUUAAUGCUGCGUUGAACUCUGAUUGAGUUAGGAUAAGUUUGUGUGUAAGUUUGGGUUCGCAUAGGUAUGGAACCUUGGAGGGGAACCUUGCCUAUGUGCCGGUCAUGGAUCCGGGAUUCGGGUCGUGACAAACUUGGUAUCAGAGCUUUAGGUUAAAGAAACAAUAAUAUAAUUAAAUUCAUAAUAAGUGGAGCAUUAGGAUCCGUGUUGUCUUGUUUGUUGUCUUUGAAAUUCCGAAUUCUCAUUAAGCAUGUCUUCUUCCUUGUGAUAGAUAUGCUUUCCUAUAAUUCUGUGGUAAUUAUCAUGCUAUUGUUCUAGCAUGACUUGAGUGCUCUCAUUUUUAUUUUAGGAAAUGCCGAGGAAUAGACGAAUAGCUGAUACUGUUAGAGUAGAGGAUGAUCAGGAUAAUGUCCCUAUUGGGCGGUUGAGAACUGCAAGGCAGAGAAGGAGGCGCGGUGCACCCGUGCCUCAACAUGUUGAGGAGGUACCUCCACCAGUGGAGGAAGAGCCUCAGGAGAUAGAAGAGGAAGAUAUUGUUGAUGAAACAGGUGUGGGGG